rnacentral:rRNA from 1 species
GAUGAACGCUGGCGGCGUGCUUAACACAUGCAAGUCGAACGGUGAAAGAGAGCUUGCUCUCUGGAUCAGUGGCGAACGGGUGAGUAACACGUGAGCAAUCUGCCCUUGACUCUGGGAUAAGCGCUGGAAACGGCGUCUAAUACCGGAUACGAGCUGCGAAGGCAUCUUCAGCAGCUGGAAAGAACUUCGGUCAAGGAUGAACUCGCGGCCUAUCAGCUAGUUGGUGAGGUAACGGCUCACCAAGGCGUCGACGGGUAGCCGGCCUGAGAGGGUGACCGGCCACACUGGGACUGAGACACGGCCCAGACUCCUACGGGAGGCAGCAGUGGGGAAUAUUGCACAAUGGGCGAAAGCCUGAUGCAGCAACGCCGCGUGAGGGACGACGGCCUUCGGGUUGUAAACCUCUUUUAGCAGGGAAGAAGCGAAAGUGACGGUACCUGCAGAAAAAGCACCGGCUAACUACGUGCCAGCCGCCGCCGUAAUAC